rnacentral:rRNA from 1 species
AUACAGGGCAAUGGGUGCAAGCCUUACCCACCAACGCCGCGUGAGGGAAGAAGGUUUUCGGAUUGUAAACUUCUGUCUUUGAGGACGAAGAAAGUGACGGUACACCGGGAGGAAACCCCUCCUAACUACGUGCCAGCAGCCGCGGUAAUACGCAAGGGGCGAGCGUUGUCCGGAAUUAUUGGGUAUGAAGGGCGCGUAGACGGCUGGAUAACUUACUUGUGAAAGCCCGCCUUACAAGGGCGGAAUUGCAAGUAAUACUGUCUGGCUUGAGUGCAGGAGAGGAAAGCGGAAUUCCUAGUGUAGCGGUGAAAUGCGUAGAUAUUAGGAGGAACACCAGUGGCGAAGGCGGCUUUCUGGACUGUAACUGACGUUGAGGCGCGAAAGCGUGAGGAGCAAACAGG